rnacentral:rRNA from 1 species
GGCUGCAGUCGAGGAUCUUCCGCAAUGGGCGAAAGCCUGACGGAGCGACACCGCGUGGAGGAUGAAGGCCUUCGGGUUGUAAACUCCUGUCACGAGUUAAGAAGCCACUGCAUCGAACAGGUGUAGGGGUUGACGUAAGCUCGAGAGGAAGCACUGGCUAACUCUGUGCCAGCAGCCGCGGUAAUACAGAGAGUGCAAACGUUGUUCGGAAUUACUGGGCUUAAAGCGCACGUAGGCUGCGUCGUAAGUGUCAGGUGAAAUCCCACGGCUUACCCGUGGAACUGCCUGGCAGACUGCGAUGCUUGAGUGUGGUAGGGGAGAGCGGAACUCCUGGUGGAGCGGUGAAAUGCGUAGACAUCAGGAGGAACACCGGUGGCGAAGGCGGCUCUCUGGUCCACAACUGACGCUGAGGUGCGAAAGCUAGGGGAGCAAACGGGAUUAGAUACCCCGGUAGUCCUAGCUGUAAACGAUGGGCACUAGCUUGGGGUCUCCCUGUGGGAUCCCAGGUGAAGCAAAAGUGCUAAGUGCCCCGCCUGGGGAGUAUGGUCGCAAGGCUGAAACUCAAAGGAAUUGACGGGGGCUCACACAA